GCGGCCGCUCGCGACAUGUCGGGCCCCCGGGCGGGCUUCUACCGGCGGGAGCUGAACCAGACGCUCUGGGAGGUUCCGCUGCGGCUGCAGAGGCUGCGGCCCGUGGGCUCGGGCGCCUACGGCUCCGUGUGCUCGGCCUAUGACGCGCAGCUGCGCCAGAAAGUGGCCGUGAAGAAGCUGUCGCGCCCCUUCCAGUCGCUGGUCCACGCGCGGAGGACCUACCGCGAGCUGCGCCUGCUCCAGCACCUCAAGCACGAGAAUGUCAUCGCGCUCUUGGACGUCUUCACCCCGGCCACCUCCAUCAAGGACUUCAGCGAAGUGUACCUGGUCACCACCCUGAUGGGCGCCGACCUGAACAGCAUCGUCAAGUGCCAAGCGCUGAGCGAGGAGCACGUCCAGUUCCUGGUGUACCAGCUGCUCCGCGGGCUGAAGUACAUCCACUCGGCCGGCAUCAUCCACCGGGACCUGAAGCCCAGCAACGUGGCGGUGAACGAGGACUGCGAGCUGAAGAUCCUGGACUUCGGGCUGGCACGCCAAGCCGACGAGGAGAUGACAGGCUACGUGGCCACGCGCUGGUACCGGGCCCCGGAGAUUAUGUUGAACUGGAUGCACUACAACCAGACAGCCCUCUGCUCGUCUUUGGGGCUGGGCAUCCCUGGGGUUGCCAACCAGUCUGAGAGGCCCCUCUCCAACAGUGGACAUCUGGUCCGUGGGCUGCAUCAUGGCCGAGCUGCUGCAGGGGAAGGUGCUUUUUCCGGGGAGCGACUAUAUCGACCAGCUCAAGCGUAUCAUGGAGGUGGUGGGCACACCCAGCCCCGAGGUUCUGGCGAAGAUUUCCUCAGAGCACGCCCGGACCUAUAUCCAGUCCCUGCCCCCGAUGCCCCAGAAGGACCUCAAGAGCAUCUUCCGGGGUGCCAGCCCCCUGGCUGUGGACCUCUUGGGCAGGAUGCUGGUACUGGACAGCGAUCAGAGGGUCAGCGCGGCCGAGGCCCUGGCCCACGCCUACUUCAGCCAAUACCACGACCCCGAUGAUGAGCCGGAGGCCGAACCCUAUGACCAGAGCGUGGAGGCCGCAGAGCACACGCUGGAGCAGUGGAAGGAGCUCACCUACCAGGCGGUGCUCAGUUUCAAGCCUCCAGAGCCAGCCCAGCCGCCAGGCAGCCUGCAGCAGUGAGGUGGAGCAGCAGAGAACUUUGUGCGAUGGGCCCACGCCGCGUCCUCGCCCCGCGGGGCCUGCCUGCAGCUCCAGCCCCCAGAGUGGAGGUGUCCUGGACUUGCCCGUGCUGUGGGCGCUGCCAAGGGGGACCCAGCUGUGUAGGGGCUGUGCAUGGGGAGCAGGCGUCUCCAGAGCUCAAUCCCAGAUGGGGGGGGGGGCUG